UUAUCUCUAUCAAUCUUGUUCCUCUCAUCUCUUUCUCUCUCUUAGGAGAGCAACGUGCAAGAGUUGGAUAUUCUCUUCACUUACCACAACUCUGAGCUGCUCCAGCACCGGCUCGCUGUUCUUUUCAAUUUCCCAGAAACCACCUCUCCUCACGAGUACUCCGACCUUCUGCCUAAGGCAGGGUUGAUUGUGCUCUGUCUCUGGUGCAUCUGGGAAAAGAGCAGAACAUUCCUGGGCUGGAGGUGCUGUGUGAGGACCUGGUUACCAUGGAGACACUGGUGUACAAGACAUCAUGUUACCUGAGUCUCACACUAAAGGAGCUGCAGCAGCUCAGGGACAUUGACAAGCUCCGCCUCCUCAUGAAAAAUGGAUGAUUGAUAUGUGAGGAAUUCAUUCCAGUGGAUUGUCCUGUUUCCGCAUCACUGUGAAGGACAGUGUGUGGGCUCUGCCUCCACUUUGUUUAGAGAAUAUCUGGUAACCCUCACCAAAGAUGAUCUUGCACUCCCACUCAAAAUCUUCCAGCACUCAAAGCCAGAUGUAAGUCAAACUGCAUACGUAUACUUCACUUUCAAAACAAGCACAUAUG